AUUUUAUAUCUCUCUCGCCAAUAAUUUCAGUCCUUGUAAAGACUUUUUUCCCUUUUCUUAACAAGCUCUUGGAUAAAAUGUGGAGACGAUCACUUGUCUUGAAAGAGAAAAUACCUUCUCGUUGAAUUCAGCCAGUGUCAUGCGAGUAAAUAAAUAAAUAUGCGAAGAAUUACUGCACUCGACUGCACCAGCAAACAGGUACUACGACGGCUGGGGAUGGUUUCUUACUUACGAGAUUCGAGUUUCUUCUUGCGAGGAGACCCCAAGAACGAACAGCUAACAGUUGGUUUUCUUCCAUUCAAUAAAGUAUCAUUUACCCAAUGAGGCGUAUGCGUACCAAUCUUAUCAAUAUGACAAGAGUCUCAAGGAGGAUGUGGACCGGAAUUGUCAGUGGAAGUAGAUUUUCGUGUACGUGUCUGUGCUGAGAAAAAGACAAUAUUUAAAUUACGACAGUUGACAAUGUACAAACAUAGAAUGAUUAAGAUUGUUGUUGUGCAUGUACAUAUGCAUAUGAAGUUGGGGGUGGACGAAACACCAGUUAAAACAUGUUAAAAACCACAAUAAUAUAUAACAUAAUGAAUAAAUAUGAAAUUAAGCAUUGGCAAAUAUCUGUAUGCACAUGCUGCUUGUUUGAUGGUCAUACACGUUGCAUUGUUCCUCCGAGAAUAAAAGAAAUGCGAGUUUGUUGUUAAAGAUUGUUAUUGCACAUAAAAGUCACAUUUUAGUAAACCAUUUUUCACCUGCUCCUUCGAAGGUAGGAGGAAGGUGCAUAUGUACUUAGGCAGUGUCAAUCAACAUUAGACACAGUUGCAUACUUGCAUACGUAGUACUGUGUAUGUUCGUCCUUUGCAUGAAUAAAGUUUCAUUUAGCAUUUAGAAUUACAUAACAAAUUCUACAUUGAGCUCGAUUCUGCAUAUUAUUAUUAUUAUUUAUUUAUUAAUCAAGCUCGCUUCUUUACAAAGCUCGUUAUGCC